GAUGAACGCUGGCGGCGUGCCUAAUACAUGCAAGUCGAGCGAACAGACGAGGAGCUUGCUCCUCUGACGUUAGCGGCGGACGGGUGAGUAACACGUGGAUAACCUACCUAUAAGACUGGGAUAACUUCGGGAAACUGGAGCUAAUACCGGAUAAUAUAUUGAACCGCAUGGUUCAAUAGUGAAAGACGGUUUUGCUGUCACUUAUAGAUGGAUCCGCGCCGCAUUAGCUAGUUGGUAAGGUAACGGCUUACCAAGGCGACGAUGCGUAGCCGACCUGAGAGGGUGAUCGGCCACACGGGAACUGAGACACAGUCCAGACUCCGACGGGAAGCAGCAGUAGGGAAUCUUCCGCGAUGGGCGAAAGCCUGACGGAGCAACGCCGCGUGAGUGAUGAAGGUCUUCGGAUCGUAAAACUCUGUUAUUAGGGAAGAACAAAUGUGUAAGUAACUAUGCACGUCUUGACGGUACCGAAUCAGAAAGCCACGGCUAACUACGUG
rnacentral:rRNA from 1 species